CCUACGGGGGGCAGCAGUGAGGAAUAUUGGUCAAUGGACGGAAGUCUGAACCAGCCAUGCCGCGUGCAGGAAGACGGCUCUAUGAGUUGUAAACUGCUUUUGUACAAGGGUAAACCUGAAUACGUGUAUUCAGCUGAAAGUACUGUACGAAUAAGGAUCGGCUAACUCCGUGCCAGCAGCCGCGGUAAUACGGAGGAUCCAAGCGUUAUCCGGAUUUAUUGGGUUUAAAGGGUGCGUAGGCGGAUUGAUAAGUUAGUGGUGAAAUGUCGGAGCUUAACUCGGGAACUGCCUCUAAUACUGUUGGUCUAGAGAGUAGAUGCGGUAGGCGGAAUGUAUGGUGUAGCGGUGAAAUGCUUAGAGAUCAUACAGAACACCGAUUGCGAAGGCAGCUUACCAAUCUAUAUCUGACGUUGAGGCACGAAAGCGUGGGGAGCAAACAGGAUUAGAUACCCUAGUAGUC
rnacentral:rRNA from 1 species